rnacentral:antisense_RNA from 1 species
GGUUCAUGAUGACAUAGGACCUUGUCUGAACAUAAUGAUUUCAAAAUUUGAGCUUAAAAAUGACGCUCUGAAAUCCAGUCAGUGUGCCUCACUAGGCUUUUCGAUUUCUAGAUUUUCUGCGGAAAAUGUUGUGAAAACUUUGAAUGCUUAAAAAUGGCAGGUGUAGUAUUGUACUUUGCUAGUUGCUCAGAUACCCUUUUUUAUUUGUAUAGAUAUUCUGAGUUCCUUUUUUUUCCUGCAUGUUGUAUGUUGUCGAAAGCUAAAAGGAAACUUAUCCUUGGAUCACGGAAGGCAGAGGCACUUGGUGAGAUGGAAACAAGGAUGUGUAAAAAUGAGACUACCGCCUCUCGGAUUAAAAAAAAAAGUGCCAGAGUUCUAGGGUUCUAAGUGAUGUCCAGGAAGGAGGAGGAAUAAUAUUUAUGGAGCAUAUAUUAUGGAACACAAAUAUUCCCUGUGUAUACUUGCAUUUUUUUCUAUCAAUUGACGCUUACAAUUAGUUUUGCAAGUUGGAAAAAAAUGCAGUAUUAAUUUCAUUUGCAACAAAUUUAA